rnacentral:rRNA from 1 species
AUUGAACGCUGGCGGCAGGCCUAACACAUGCAAGUCGAACGAGUGGCGGACGGGUGAGUAAUGUCUGGGAAACUGCCUGAUGGAGGGGGAUAACUACUGGAAACGGUAGCUAAUACCGCAUACCAUCAGAUGUGCCCAGAUGGGAUUAGCUAGUUGGUGGGGUAACGGCUCACCAAGGCGACGAUCCCUAGCUGGUCUGAGCGGAUGCACAGCGACACUGGAACAGAGACACGGUCCAGACUCCUAUGGGAGGCAGCAGUGGGGAAUAUGGCACAAUUGGCGCAAGCCUGAGGUAGCCAUGCCGCGUGUAUGAAGAAGGCCUUUGUGUUGUAAAGUACUUUCAGCGGGGAGGCGUUACCCGCAGAAGAAGCACCGGCUAACUCCGUGCCAGCAGCCGCGGUAAUUC